rnacentral:lncRNA from 1 species
UCGAAUUGCGGAGCGGUGCGCACGCACCUUUAAUGCGUCACGUGAUCCGCUUAUUGGGUGAAAAGGUGGCACGUAACGUUCAAAAUCCAACGCUGCCAUAAAUUGAAACAAAAGUUAAUAUCAUCAGGAGGGCAAUAGUCAUUUAAGUUUUGAUUCAAGUUACAUAGCAUCAAAAAGUAUUCGAUUUCAGGCUCGGUGGGUAGUCGGCUGGGGGUGUUCAGUUGUCCAGUCAAUUCGAGUUUGAUUUGGUUGGAACUGGUUUGUACUGGGUCGGCGCGGAUUUUCGGUUCCAGCUGAGUGAGUAUACUGUGGUCCGGGUAAAACCACCUCCAACAACAACAAAGACAACAACACACAAGAGGAGAACCAAAACAAGAGGCAGCAGCAGCAGCAACUUCUUCAGCAAACAGCUGAUUGGUGUAGAAAAAGAAGGGAAGAAAUCUAGACGGCCAUCCAUCCCUCCGGCAUUCUGCCUCUCUUCGGCUUCUUUUUUAGUCCAAAGGUCAAAUCGCUCCCCUACUACAAUUCUUUUCAUCCCUCCAUUUUUUCUUACUUGACUUGUCUUUUUUCUUCAUCUCCCCUUUUAAAGCAACACCCUCCGGAAUCCAUCCAUCCGGAGACUACCAUCGUUUAUACUAAGCCCUGUCCCUUUGGAAAGUCUUAAAAGACUUGGAAGAAAUUAAUAGAGGGGGAGAGAGAGUGGAACAACAAUAAACGUACAGACGUCCGCUUAAAACGUAUUCCCCCUACCUGGAACUUUAGUGUUUUUACUGAAAUUAACUUUUGAAUAAUAGCACUCUGCUCUCUUUGGGAUUGAUUCAUUCAAAUCUUCUGUCCAAUAUAUCAAGGGGAGGAUGAAAAAAAAAAGGCCACCGACCUUGGCGUACCUCUUCUAUCGUCUAUGGUAGACGUUUCCAUUUUCAAGACAUCGUGAUCAGACUGGCCUUGAUUUCCAUACGGAAUCGAUAAAUAUCAUUCAGUUAUGUCAGUCAGAAAACGGUGAUCACGAGACUUGGCGGUGAUCCUUCCAGCUCCGUCUUUUCUUGAAUUUUGAAAUUCGAGUCAAGGUGACGGCGACCUCGAAGAGAAUACAAAAGGAAACUUGCGGCUCCAUACACAAGGCAACAACCGCCUCUUUCAAACAUUUCCCUUCGAGAUUCGUUUCUUAUUUCGGAUUCAAUUCAAUAUGCUGAUAUUUCAAUACUUUUUGAUGUAAUACGCCCAAAAAUUCCAAGUAUGACCCAUGGUCAUUUUUUGCUUGAAUUUAAAAAAGCGAGACUUGUCGAUUUAAUUGCAUAAUGGACGCAAUACAAAAAAAUGGCCGCCAACUUCUUUCGGUCACGUCUCGUUUGUCGGUUCACCGACCCCCCCCCUCAAUCCUGCCAUAAAAGAUAAAAAAAAUUGUCCAAACAUUUUUUUUCUUUUAUAAUAUCACAUCUCGCCUGUUUACGUUUAAGAACUUUGUUUGCCAACAGCCACAGAUAAUCGAAUUUCAGUGGGACUGUGUAAUGAAAUACAGUAAGUUGGGUAACGAUCCUAGUUGCCCCAUGCUUUUUCUUGCCUAGCUAUGGAAAUCGAAGUUGCGAGUUCUCUACCCCCAUCAGAAGUAACUUCUUUUGAUAACUAUUAUCACAAGAGUGCGGUCGCUGACCCAAUAAAGUUUACCUUAAAGGAAAUUGUAUUUUGAUAGGCAAACAGUGCAAGUCUCUCUUGAGAUUGAACAACCUUUUUAAAAUUUCAAAGCACUCUAAACUCUGUUUGGGAUCUACGUAAUCAUUAAAUUAUCUACUGACGAAGAAGUCGAAUUGCGAUGACCGGAAUUAAAAAUAAUUUGUAGUACAAGGUUAAAUGCGCAGCAUAGCUCUCUUGUUAUCAGCCAACUAAAACGACCCUCAUCACACUGUAGAUAAUUUAACGACCCUGACAUUCAAACCGUAGACGAACGAGAAAAAAAAAAGAACAAAAAACGAGGAUAAAAUACGGCAUAUCAGUAAUCCAUUAUCAGGGACGAAUGGGCAUGCGACACGUUGAAUAAUUUUUUCUUGGCAAGAGCUCACGUCGGCAGUUGUUGCCCACCGAAGUACACGUCCAUGUUAAAAAGAACAAUGGGCAAGGCACGCAAAAGUCUAGUUACAUCCUUCAGUCCAUAUGCACAGGGCUGUCUGGCUAACAGAAGCUACUACCUAUCCGUAUACAGGACAUAAAUGGGUGAAGGUCGACAGAAUUGAAACGUCCGGCGACAGUAAUAGCUUGGAAAUGUUGCAAACGACUGUCGGGAAAAGAAAAAAAACGAGGUCUCGCUUCCAACCCAUGUCAAUAUUUACCUUCCUUUUUCUCGCCGUCACUAGUGACAACCACGUUACUUAAGUCUAUUUUUGACGCGGCCAACCAAAUAGCAAGUAGAUGUUCUCUUUUGCGUAUUGAUUCAGACCUAACAGGCUGGAUCGAUUAAAGCCGAAACAGGACAAAAGAAAAUAUAAAAAAAAGCGCCUCUAACGGUCAUUAUUCCUUCUUUAAUAGACCAAAUCACCCACCGACCCGACACCUACGUGCAACAUCAUUAAAAAAAAAAAACGGCCCAAUACCUAGUCGACUUCAUGUGGAAUGAAUGCAAACCUACGCAAAGAAAUACAAGUUUAUAACAAUGGUUACACCUUAUACUGGAUAUCUUUAAAGUGCUGACGUCGUGAAAUAUAAGCGUUACCUGAAAACGAAUCGGAACGGAAGCAGCCGGGAAAUAAAUAAGGCUGACCGUCUACCAUCACACCCGACGAGACGACUGGCGGCAAUUGAAACCGAUUGUAACAAGAAAAAUAAGUUCUAAGAAAUACAAUCACGCGUGCCCUGAAAAAAAAAAAAAGAAAUCGAAUCCCGUCGUCUGCCGGAUAUUAUUAGUAUGAACCUAAAAACAUUUUCGCACAAAAUAUCUUUUUAAAUGAUUAUUCGUUUGUUCUGUUUCAUUCUUAUUAUUCGAAUCAAUUUCAGUUCGAGAAAACUAAUCGAUAGACAAGAAGUAAAAAAAAAAUCAAGGGAAAAGCCAAAACUAAUUUUAAACGUGCCGUAAACAUGAAAAGAAAAUAAUGGCGGGAGUAAAUAGUAACAGAGAUAGUAGGCAAGAGCGAAACGGCCACAAAACAACAAUUUAAAGAUUUUUUUUUUGUUUGUUUGUUGGAGGGGGAAAUCGCACGAGUUCAUCCAUUCGUAUCAGGUAUCACUGUUAUAUAUACUUAAAAAAAAAAGAACCACGACAUAUCGUGUGUGUGAUAGAAUCAUUCUCUUCUUUGACAAAAGUAAGAAGGAAUGUCUUAUAUUUGAGGAGGGGCAAAAAUCGAUUGAUUGAACUUUUAGCAUCAUGAUGACAAUCAUGGGAACUCAAUAAUUUUGUUUUCUGGUUUGUUUUUCUCUUUUCGCAACAUAUUUAUGUGGGACCAAGUAAAUGUAGGGUACUUCUGCUGGAUAUCUGCGAACGUGCGGGGAAAAAAAAUAAAAAUAAAAAUCCCCUUCCCAUUAUACCUAACCAAAGAUUUUGUUUUGUUAGCUUUUUCUUUUGUUUUGCGUUAGAAAAAGGAAAGACGAGAAGAAGAAGAAAAAAAAAUAUUUAAUAUUUAAAAAUGAACUACUACGCCGACGACAACCACGAUCGGAAACUAAUUGGACAGCUAUAACGACGAGUGGAAAAUCCUAUCGGACUCUGGAGAGAUAGAGCGCAAAAGAGAGAAAAGAAAAUUGAAAACAAACCCUGGGGGUGGAGACCUUUGGUUAUUUUUUCUCUUUCCUCGCUGGUCUUGGAUUGAGGAAAAUGAAACCUUUUACUGCCAUAGAUUGUUGGACAACGUUGUGGUGGUUGGCUGCUGUUGUGGUGGAGGGGCCGAUUGCAUUCCGUGGAACAUGUUAUACGGACUGCUUCCGUUGCUGGUCAUCGCAGGACUCAUGGACAUAUUGCCCAUCAUCACACCUAAAUCCAUUUGGCAGGUGAAUUACUAUGGCGACGUACGAACGAGUGAGCAUUUUUGGACUAACCAGGUACUAGAUUUGAAGCAUUGGCAGUAGGCAUCAUUGGAUUUUGCACGGCUGGGCCGAAAUUCAAUCCAUUCAAUUGCUGAGAGAGCUGGCCCAUUUGAGGUGUUCCUACUACCGUUUGGGGUGUUGCACCGUUCGUUGAAAACAUUGGACUAGAAAACAUGUUGCCAUGUUGCUGUUGUUGCAUUAGAGGAUUAAAGUUGCCGGCCAUCAUAGCCGUUUGAUUCAUUGAGGGAGAAGACGCAAAUGCCGCUUGAUUCAUUGAGGGAGCAGCAAUAAAUGCCAUUUGGGGAGCAGCAUAAAGUCCUAUGCAUGAAGGAGGAAACGAUAAUAUCUAAUUGGUUGUCACAUUUACGAAUGACGUAUUACCUUGACUGGCAAACAUGUUUUGCAUGGGUGGGACAGCAGCAGACGCAUUUGUACCACUUUGGUUAUACAAUGCCAUAAUUGAAUUUUUGUCCAAUGUCCGUUUUUCCGUUGUACUGGGUGUUUUUUGGUUGAAGAAACUAUCUUCGUCGGCA